CUACGGGCCGCUGCAGUGUGGAAUAUUGCACAAUGGAGGAAACUCUGAUGCAGCAACGCUGCGUGGAGGAUGACACUUUUCGGAGCGUAAACUCCUUUUAUAUAGGAAGAAGAUGACGGUACUAUAUGAAUAAGCGCCGGCUAACUCCGUGCCAGCAGCCGCGGUAAUACGGAGGGCGCAAGCGUUACUCGGAAUCACUGGGCGUAAAGAGCGUGUAGGCGGAUUAAAAAGUCAGAAGUGAAAUCCUAUAGCUUAACUAUAGAACUGCUUCUGAAACUCUUAAUCUAGAAUAUGGGAGAGGUAGAUGGAAUUUCUGGUGUAGGGGUAAAAUCCGUAGAGAUCAGAAGGAAUACCGAUUGCGAAGGCGAUCUACUAGAACAUUAUUGACGCUGAGACGCGAAAGCGUGGGGAGCAAACAGGAUUAGAUACCCCAGUAGUC
rnacentral:rRNA from 1 species